UACGUAGGGUGCGAGCGUUGUCCGGAAUUAUUGGGCGUAAAGGGCUCGUAGGCGGUUCGGUAAGUCGGGUGUGAAAACUCUGGGCUCAACCCAGAGCCGCCACCCGAUACUGCUGUGACUCGAGUGCGGUAGGGGAGCGGGGAAUUCCUGGUGUAGCGGUGAAAUGCGCAGAUAUCAGGAGGAACACCAGUGGCGAAGGCGACGCUCUGGGCCGUGACUGACGCUGAAGAGCGAAAGCGUGGGUAGCAAACAGG
rnacentral:rRNA from 1 species